UACGUAGGGCGCAAGCGUUAUCCGGAUUUAUUGGGCGUAAAGAGCUCGUAGGCGGCUUGUCGCGUCGACUGUGAAAACCCGUGGCUCAACCAUGUGGUCUGCAGUCGAUACGGGCAGGCUAGAAUUCGGUAGGGGAGACUGGAAUUCCUGGUGUAGCGGUGAAAUGCGCAGAUAUCAGGAGGUACACCGGUGGCGAAGGCGGGUCUCUGGGCCGAUAUUGACGCUGAGGAGCGAAAGCGUGGGGAGCGAACAGG
rnacentral:rRNA from 1 species